rnacentral:rRNA from 1 species
GGACUGUCGCUGGCUUCUGCCGUGCACGUCCAUCUUUCUCUUACUCUCACACUGUGCACACAUUGUAGGUCCUCGAAAGAGGAUCUAUGUUUCAAUCAUCACACACAUCGUAUGUCUAGAAUGUAUCAAGAUCGUCGUUCGACCUCACGGUCGGGGGGCGGUCGAAAAAACAAAUACAACUUUCAGCAACGGAUCUCUUGGCUCUCGCAUCGAUGAAGAACGCAGCGAAUUGCGAUAAGUAAUGUGAAUUGCAGAUUUUCAGUGAAUCAUCGAAUCUUUGAACGCACCUUGCGCUCCUUGGUAUUCCGAGGAGCAUGCCUGUUUGAGUGUCAUGUAAUUCUCAACCAUGUCUCGAUUGAUUUCGGGGCAUGGCUUGGAUGUGGGGGUUGCUGGCGGCGAAGGCCAUCGGCUCUCCUGAAAUGCAUUAGCGAUGGACGGCAAGUCUUGACGUGCACGGCCUCGACGUGAUAAUGAUCGUCGUCGCUGGAGUGUCGGACGAGCAUGAUAUGUCCCUUUGCUUCCAAUCCUUUGACUUGGGACUCGGACUUUCGAGCGAAGCUCUAGUUACUAGUCGGUCGUGAGGCCGACGAACGCAGGGCGGGAUUCGGAGGUCGGGAAGCCCUCGUCUUUCUUGACGACUUGACCUCAAAUCAGGUAGGACUACCCGCUGAACUUAAGCAUAUCAAUAAGCGGAGGAA